rnacentral:rRNA from 1 species
UGUGGUUCCUUAGAUCGUACCCAAGUUACUUGGAUAACUGUGGUAAUUCUAGAGCUAAUACAUGCCGACAGAGUUCCGACCGCCGCGGUGCCCCCGGGUUCCGUGUGCGGGAGGAACGCUUUUAUUAGAUCAAAACCGGCCCGUCGCGGCGCGCCUCGCGCGCGUCCCGAUCGCGGCCCGCGCAAAGACCUGGUGACUCUGAAUAACUUCGAGCUGAUCGCACGGUCCUCGUACCGGCGACGCAUCUUUCAAAUGUCUGCCUUAUCAACUGUCGACGGUAGGUUCCAUGCCUACCGUGGUGGUAACGGGUAACGGGGAAUCAGGGUUCGAUUCCGGAGAGGGAGCCUGAGAAACGGCUACCACAUCCAAGGAAGGCAGCAGGCGCGCAAAUUACCCACUCCCGGAACGGGGAGGUAGUGACGAAAAAUAACGAUACGGGACUCAUCCGAGGCCCCGUAAUCGGAAUGAGAACACUUUAAAACCUUUAAACGAGGAUCAAUUGGAGGGCAAGUCUGGUGCCAG